rnacentral:rRNA from 1 species
UACGUAGGGCGCAAGCGUUGUCCGGAAUUAUUGGGCGUAAAGAGCUCGUAGGCGGUCUGUUACGUCCGCUGUGAAAACCCAGGGCUUAACCCUGGGCUUGCAGUGGAUACGGGCAGACUAGAGGCAGGUAGGGGAGAAUGGAAUUCCCGGUGUAGCGGUGAAAUGCGCAGAUAUCGGGAGGAACACCGGUGGCGAAGGCGGUUCUCUGGGCCGAUACUGACGCUGAGGAGCGAAAGCGUGGGGAGCGAAUGGG